rnacentral:rRNA from 1 species
UUAUCUGAGAGUUUGAUCCUGGCUCAGGAUGAACGCUGGCGGCGUGUCUAAGGCAUGCAAGUCGUACGGACUAUUUCACUUCGGUGAACUUGGUUAGUGGCAAACGGGUGCGUAACACAUUGGUAAUCUGCCCCAAAGUUCGGCAUAACAACUCGAAAGGGUUGCUAAUUCCGGAUGUGUCCGUCUCGCAAAUGCGGGACGAGUAAAGCUCAAAAGGCGCUUUGGGAGGAGCCUAUGGCCUAUCAGCUUGUUGGUAAGGUAAAAGCUUACCAAGGCUACGACGGGUAGCGGGUGUGAGAGCAUGACCCGUCUCACUGGGACUGAGACACUGCCCAGACUCCUACGGGAGGCUGCAGUCAAGAAUCUUCCACAAUGGCCGAAAGGCUGAUGGAGCGACGCCGCGUGCAUGAAGAAGCCCUUCGGGGUGUAAAGUGCUUUUCUAUGGGAAAAAGUCUGUGCUUUUUAGAUGUUAAUUGAAUAAUUUUUAUUUGGUUAAAAUUAAGCAAAUUAUAUGUUAUUAGUCAUAAGUUAUUGGUGAGAGGAUAAUAAAAAUAGUGAUUUAUAACUUAUAACCUAUAACUCGUGAUAAGAUAUAGGAUAAAUGAAUCUUUUUAAUGUAAUUAACAUUUAAAAAGCGCAGAUUGAUGGUACCAUAGGAAUAAGGGGCUGCUAACCUCGUGCCAGCAGCAGCGGUAAUACGAGGGCCCCAAGCGUUAUCCGGAUUUAUUGGGCGUAAAGGGUCCGCAGGCGGUUUAUCGCAUCUCCUGUUAAAUCUUCGAGCUUAACUCGGAGGCUGCGGGAGAG